GGGUAAUCGAUCAACCACCCCAUUGCCGGAUGGUUCCGCUGCUACCCAUCGGCCGGACUCUCCCACCUGCCGGUGUGACCCUGACUCUGUGCCGGGUCUGAGGAUGCCCUCCGUCGUCAUCCCUUAGAAGCCGUUACCCGCUUUUCGGACUGGCUCGCUGCGGCGCACCCCCUUCUUCCGGAAGCCCAGCAUUUGGGGACAGAAACCCCUGCUUCCACUGCCAUGGGUUCCUCCUUCGGGGCCGAUUGAUGCACGGUCGUCGGCGCCAUUAUGCAUCCCCCGCUCGCAACAGGCCUUAAUGACCCGCAUUUCCCACGCAUCCGCCAGUAAAUUCAGGACACACUUUCCGGGGCCGAAUUGGCCCCUCGCGGUACCCUUUGACCUACCGAACUCACGACCUCUCCCAACGCCUUAAGGGCCACAUCGCCACUUUACGCAUCUAUAGCCCUCCUUGUGGUCACCGCUUCCGCCGUUGGACCUGUCAUUGACUGCGACUCCGUGCUGUCGACCCCCUCGUUUGUCCUAAUCUAUGGGACCAUCAGGGUCGGCAUUUGCUACUCACGAUCCACAACGCCCAUAGCUGGGGACGUCACGGCAUCAAUUGCGUUAUUCGUGAGGCG
rnacentral:rRNA from 1 species